GGAUUAGAUACCCGGGUAGUCCACGCCGUAAACUAUGGAUGCUAGCUGUAAGAGGUAUCGACCCCUCUUGUAGCGAAGCUAACGCGUUAAGCAUCCCACCUGUGGAGUACGGUCGCAAGACUAAAACAUAAAGGAAUUGACGGGGACCCGCACAAGCGGUGGAGCGUGUUGUUUAAUUCGAUGGUAAACGAAGAACCUUACCCAGGUUUGACAUCCUUGGAAUUUUGCCGAAAGGCGAGAGUGCUUUAUUGAGCCAAGUGACAGGUGUUGCAUGGCCGUCGUCAGCUCGUGUCGUGAGAUGUUUGGUUAAGUCCAUCAACGAGCGCAACCCUUAUAGUCUGUUGUAUUUCUCAGGCUAGACUGCCCUGGUAACAGGGAGGAAGGGGGGAUGAUG
rnacentral:rRNA from 1 species